rnacentral:lncRNA from 10 species
UCACUCAUAUUGACAUCCAUUUUAAAAUCUCAUUCUCUGAUGAGACCAGCUAGAAUCACUCGGUUAGCUAGCACCAUCCAGAUUGCCAUCAUUGCUGCCUGGAUCCAUUAUUGUACUGGACAUGGCAACACAUCCGCUGUUAUAGACAGGACACAAGUAAAGUACUUGAUGUUUCUGAUGCAAAGGCUACCAUUUGGUGCUAGACUU